GUGGUGGUGGAGAAGGAGAAGGAGGUGGUGGCAACUUAUAUGUCGGAGGUGGAGGAAAAUAAUAUACAUAAGAGUCACCUGAAACUACAUUUGCAACCGCCAAUACGGCCAACACCACUAAGAUCAGCCGCAAACGACCAUAAAUCUUACAAUUAUUUGUGGUUUUCUAUUAAAAAAAAAUAAUUAUUCAUUAUGUGGCAUUAAUUUUUUUAAAUAACUUUUGCAUAACAUCAUGGUAUAUUAUGAGGUGGAUGAUAUACUGCUUUACUUUUAAUCGAAGAUUUCAAAUUCAUAUUCUAAGAAUGAAAAAAUAUGCAUUGAAUAUUUGAAUUAAUUGAGCUGGUAAAUUCCUUAUCGGUGAUUAUAAUAAAAAAAUAGAAAUCUUAAUUUUAAAAUACAAUAAUUUAUAAAAUUAUCUUAUAAAUUGUAGAUUACAAAAUUAAUUUAGAAUAGGGCAUUUCCCUUGAGAUUGAAAUUGUCAACAAUUACAAGUAGAAGUAAGUACUCUCAAUGCUAUAAAUAAGAUUGAUAAUUAUUUAAUUUGAUAUUAUAUCUUUAUAGUUCAUUUCUGAAUUAUUUAUAAAUUAAUAUCUGUCAUUUUCAUGCAAUACCAUAUUGGUUUAGUUUCAUUGCUUGUGGAGACUUGGUAUGACAUGAACCAAUCACAAAUAAAAAUAUAGCCAUCGUAGGUAGGGAGCGUUUUAUUCUUUAAUAUGAAAUUCUUUAGCUAGUGAAAUUAAAUUGGGCUUGCUACAAGAUCAGGUCAAGCAAUUAAAGUGAUAUUAUUUUCAAUCCGUUUGCUACGUUCCAGGUACCAAGUAACUCAUUCAGAUCUAUUUUAAAUUUUCAGUUGUAGUGAAAUGAAAUAUAGGGAACUCUUCAUCUAAGUGAUUUAUUUGACGAAUCAAUUCUCUAGACUCGUAUUCAAAACCCCUAGUUAAGAAAGAUGAGACCUAAUUUUUGUCUAUUAGAUUAAUUUUUUUCAAUUAAAAUAUAUGAUCUCAAAGUAGAAAAAAAUUAUUUUUAAUAACAAUGAAGGAUAGUUUAUAUUAUCUCGAUAGGAAACAGUCCAAUCUUUUCCCGCAUCAGUGCAAUAUGAAAGUCCUUUAGGAUUCCUUAGAAUACGAAUGAGAUUUUUAAAAAAAUGUUCUGUUAACGCUCAAGUAGAAGAAGGAAUACUUAAAUGAGAAGAUUAUUACUAGUAAAAAUUUUAUUAGUAAUACUAAAACAUGAACCAGAUGUGACAACAAAAUCAUUUUGAUAUUUUAAACCACAGAAAUAAAAAUCCACCUUAUUAAACGUAAUAUACAAUAGUUUUUUAAAUAUAUGCUCAUGCAUGUGUAAGCUAUAACAAUCAUGUAGAAAAUGAGAUCUUGAAAAAGAAUUGUUAAUCUUUACUUAUGCUUGUUGAACACAACAAAUGCCUGGUGAAAUAUUUGAUGUGCACGUACAUAACAUAUACAUGUAAAGUCGAGUUAGUUUUAACACAUAUAUAAAAGAAUUUUUUAUCAUGAUUUGUGCAUCAUAAAAUGAAAUCUUGGGAAGAUGGAUAAGUUGUUUCCCACUCGUACACUAACAUUACAAAUAAAAAAUUCAUCUAUAUAUGUAUCAUCAAUAAAAUUUCUGGUUUAUAAGUAAUUUUCAUUUGAGAAGGGUACGUACAAACUGUGCCAUCAAUGUAGGACAUAUUCUUUCCAUACCAUUUCACGAGACAUGUUUGGUUGAAUACAAAAGUUAAGAGAGAAAGAAAAGCAUUUGAAAUUUGUGAUAUAAAACAAGUCACACAAAGACGUUUGCAUCACUCAUUGCUUCCUUUUCAUACUCGAGGUGAACUCCCCAGCAUACUUGUCUAUUCUCAUAUGGGUACUGUUGAGAUAGCUCCAACAUGUCAUAAUCAUUUGGGCUCUUCCCUUCUUUAUUCCCAGAAGCAGAUUCAAACGGUAUAUAGAAGCAAAAAAUGAGAUCUGCCUCUGGAUAUGCAGGGAUGUUAUAACUGAAGGAGUAUAUUCUUUCAGGGUCAGAUUUGCAGACCAAUGUAGCUACUAAUCCUUCGUUCAGUGUAGUAGGACCGUAACUUAUCCAAAAACCCAUGAAUUUAUCGGUAUACCAAGAUGGGUUCAAAUCAAUCGAGAUCUGUUUUUGAUUUAUGAACCGAUAAUCAAACAACUUUGGAAUUUUGACUCCAGGAAAGGAAAUGAAAAAAUCAUACCUCUGAUUGAAGUCACGCUGCAUGCAUAUCCUGCGAUAAUGCUCUAGGAACUCAUUAAUUUGUUCAGUUGAGACAGCUCCAUAGUCGGAUAUCGAGAGGAGACACAGCUUAAGACAACAAACUGCAAGAUCUCUGAUGCUCUUCAAGGCUAAAUGAUAAUCUGCAUAUAGCUCCCCUAAAUUAGGGGUAGCUCUUCUGGCAAUUCAUUAAGAUUCCGACAGAAUUGUAUGUUCAGGUCAUAAAGCCGUGAGAGUUUGUUGAUGCUUUUGGGUAAACAAGAAAUAUUGCUUCCACUCACAUUCAAUUUUCCCAAAAAGUGCAAAGAUCCUAAAUCCUCAGGAAGUCCCCCCAAUAUGUUGUGAUUGCAAAGAUGAAGUUCAGCUAAGGAGGAUAAACUUGAUAGUUGAUGCAAGACGAAACUUGAGGAAUGCUGACAUUGUCGUUCAUCAUGUGAGAAACUUAACUUGCAUAGUUUGCCAAGCUUAGUGAUGGAGGGAGGUGGUGGGAGAUUGCAGUAUCACUUGCAUCAAGUUCCCAUAGCUCUUGCAGAUCACCAAUGUUUUCUGGAAGCUUCUCUAGCUUUUUGCAUCCUUUGAGGGAAAGGCGUCGAAUAUUCGUCAAAUUACAGAGGCUGUCUGGUAGACUGAUAAGAUCCUCAUAACCUUCAAGAUAGAGAUAUUUGAGGCCUCUCAGAUGCCAAAUGAAUGCUGGCACUUCUCUUAUCCCAGUAGAAUUCAAAGCCAGUUUGUUCAAGUGAUGCAUAUCUCCUUUGAUUUCUGGAAAUGUAUCUAAUUUGGGGGAAUUACAUAUCGUGAGCUCUUUAAGGGAUUCCAUCUGAAUAGAGCGUGGAAGCUUCUUUAAGUUCUCACAUCUCUCUAUCUCUAACAAAUACAGCUUGUUUUGAACUCCAAGAGAUAUGGGGAGCUCUACCAAUCCAGAACACUCGGAUAUUACAAGAUCUAACAUUUGUUGUGAUUCAAAGAGGUUGUUUGGCAGUGUUGCAAGUUUAUUACAACCUGAAAUCCUGAGUUUCCUAAGAUUUCGAAAAGUGUCCGGAAUACUUUCAAGAAUUUCACAAUUAAUCAAAUGCAAUACUCCAAGGCCACUGAGAGACCGUGGUAAGCUUCUUAUCCAGGGAGAUUCUACAUAGAGCCCUGAUAAGCGAUGCAUAUCUCCACAGAUUUCUGGAAAUUCUUGUAAGCUUGUGCAUCCUUUGAGAUUGAGAAUCUCAAGAGAUUCCAUGCACACAAAUUUUGGAAGCUUCUUAAGUUUGAGACAACCCCGCAAUCUCAAAUGAGUAAGCAUUCUGCAAUGUCCAAGAGAGGGAUGAACCUCUUCCAAAUUCACACACUCCCAUAAAUUUAGUCUCUCCAGGUUUGGCAUAUCACCAAAAUUAGGACUUUUUGUUAACUUAGAGUUGAAACUGAGAUCCAAAUGCUUCAACUUGCUCAAUUUCUAUUUCCAUUUAAAAAAAAAUAAAAAAACAAUUAGCUUAAAUAUUAGUACUCCUAAUAGAAAUAUUUUUUUUGAAAAAAAAGGGGCAAAAGGUCUAUAUAUCCUAAGCUUUGCCAUUUUGAGUUGAAAUACCUCUAAUUAUAAAAGUGGUUCAUAUAUACCUUUCAUCUAAUGGAAGUGAAAAGAAUAGUUUCAAUUUUACUUUUUUUUUAUUUUUACUUUUUAAGAAAAAACUAUGUAGGGGUAUAUGCAACAAUUUUUAAGGUUCUGAUGGGAUAUGACAUGUACAAAAAAGAUAUUCUCGCUCCGGCAUUUCCAAUUUCGACAGUGGUUCAGAAAUAGCCCUUUUAUGUACUGAAAAAUUUUUGGACUAAAAACCUUAGUCGAACUUUUCAAGUGAGUGUUUACUAAAUUAAUAGAGAGUAUACCUUUGAUAUUGGCCAAAGUUCCACAAGACAACUUUCUAGUAAAGAAAGCACGACCAGCUUUGAUGGUUCAAAGUUCUCUGGCAAUGAAGUUGAAGGAUAUCCGUCCCACUCAAUAAACUGCAGGCUGGAAGGAAGAUAAGAGAGAGCAUAGUUUGAGCUAUAAGUUCCAUUACCACCAACUAUGAGUACUUUCAAGCUUUGCAUCCUCUUGAAAAUAUUGCUAUAAUUGACAACGACAUCAUCUUCAAAAAAAUAAUUUCUUGGGAUAUGUAAGCUUUCCACCUUUUCUGUUGUCUGUAAAGAAUGUAACAUAUAUUUAAUGCCUAACAAAUUAAAAUGAAAUUAACAGAAAUAAGAACUUACGAAAUUAUUAACUACAUUAAGUAUUGCUUACCAACUGUCCUUUAAAAAGGUCACAAACUUCCUCAGGAAGCCAUAUUCUGCUGCUAGUGUACUCUUCCCGUAUGACAUGUUCACCCAUUUCUCUUAUCAUAUUAUGCAUGUUGAUUCUAUUAUCUAUGCAGAUGGAUAACAGAGAUUUUUCAAUGAGGCUAUCUAUUAGAAAACCACGAUUCCCGUCUCUAUAAAAUAGUUCCACAUAAAGACUAAAACUACCAUUACCAAAGCGUAGAAUGUUUAUAAAUGUUAUAUCCAAAAAUACUUCCUUCUCAUCUUUGGCCAGACCAACAAAACUAAGCCUAAGCUUUCCUAGAAUAUCACUGUCAGGGAUUAUCUUCAGCCGAUCAAUCAUGUGUCUCCAGUACUUUUUGUCUCGUCCAUAAAACAAAGGACCCAAAACUUUAAGAGCUAACGGGAGUCCACCAGCAUGCUUCACCACUUGUCUUGAAAGUUCGACAAAAUCCUCUUUUGGUGAUUUUUCUUUAAAAGCAUGCCUACUGAACAAUUCGAGUGCUUCAUCCUCAGAUAAUAGUUGGACUUCAUACAUGUUUUCCCCCACGUGAUUGAUUAACAGUCGCUUGUCUCGUGCUGUUAAAAUAAUUCUGCUACCCAUACCAAACCACUCCGACCCUCCAACUAAACAUUCCAACAGUUCUCGAUGGUUUACAUCAUCGAGGAUUAACAGAACUUUCUUCCUGUAAAGCAUAUUCUUCAAAAUAUUCAUCCCUUCAUAUUCACUUGUAAUAGUCAUCCUUUCACCAACGAGCUUGCAAAUGACUACUUCUUGUAGCCAUGUUAGUCCAUUUUUCUGAUAAAGUUUUCCAACAUCACCAAGAAAACAAUCAGCUUCAAAUUGAUGGCGAUAUCUCUGAUGUAAAACAUUUGCAAUUUCUGUCUUGCCAAUCCCGCCCAUACCCCAAAUACCAAUAGAGCGAACAACAUUUGAUUCCAUAUCUAAUAAUGAGGUUACUUUCUCAACCUGAGAUUUCAUACCCACUAACCUUUCCGGGAGAGGUGAAAUAAUUUGAAGUGACUUAGGAAAUAUGUUAUCAACUAGCUUCUUGAUGCACUCUGCCUCAUCCCUGCAGUACAACAAAAAUAAUCUCAGAGUAAAUAAAUAGAAAAGAAACGAAACGAAAAGACUAAUGUCUAAGACAAACACAUAAUAAUGUCACAACGUAGUUUAAAUCUAAUUACAUCAUCAAACAACCAUAUACGUCAAUGUAUUCCUAGGAUCUUUGUUCCUUUUUCCGGUAAAAGUAUAGAUGAUGAUGUUUGCUUACUUGAAAUUUGGCAAAUGAUACCCCGAUAUUUUCCCUGCCUCCACAAAUGCAUCCCUCCAUCUUUCAACCUUCUCCGUAUCAUCUUUAUAUUUUUCCUCAUGUUCGGAAAAUGAAUCAGCGAAUGGGGGAUUUUGAUGGCGCACAUCCGAUGGACUCACAUCAUAGAAGACUGGAAUCACAAUCUGCUCCAAUUCAUCUUUACACUUUAUGAUAUAUGCAAGCUCCUCUAAGCACCAUCUUGACGAUGCAUAGCUUUUUGAAAAUAUUAUGAUUGCGAAUCUGGCCUCUUCUAUGGCUUUCAAAACUUCAUCAGAAAUUAAUUUUCCUGUUUCUAGUCGCUCAUCAUCUUUAAAAGUGAGGAUCCCUCUUUGUUGCAGAGCAUUAUAGAGAUGACUCACAAUGUUUCUACGUGUAUCUUCACCUCUAAAACUCAAAAAGACAUCGUACUUGCAAAUUUUGGAAGAAGAAGCUUGAGACAUUGUUGAAGAAUAUUACUAUAACUAACAGGCAAUUCUUCAGCUUUGGGUGUAUGGUGAGAAGAUAUAUUUUUGCUCAAUGUUGUGCUGCUUAAUAAAGAGAAAAACAGGGAAAAUUAUUUCAUUUUUCAGCUGUGUGGAUGCAGAAUUUGGUAUAUGGGAAACUUUCAAUCAUCUUCCUUUCUGUUGAAUAAUAUCACUAAAGACUAACAGUGUAACAACCCUUCCCAUUGUUUUUUUUUUUACAUAUAAAAACAUUGGUAGUGCUCCACUUGGAGCUAGUGGAUGCUAUUCCACUUGUUUUGGCCGGUGCAUUAUUUUAUUAUUAUUAUUAUUUUGUCCAUUUCUAUAAUACCAACUUUGAUUAAAGAAUUUAUAAGUUGAGCCUCCACAAUGUCCAACAAUAUACUACCAUCUGCCUAUAUAUAUAUAUAUCAGGGAAUAACGCAAGAGGGAGAUAUAGAUAAGGCAGAAAAAUAUUGAGUUUCAGGGAGGUGUUAAUUAUUUUGUAUAGCUUUGAAACUAAUUGUGUAGAGCUUCGAUAAUUUUAUCCUUGUAAGCUCUUAUUUUUUAAAUUUAUUAUAAUAAUUUAAUUUAUAUAAAUAAGUUUAUUUUCGUGUAUUUUUAGGUACUUCAUUAUGAGAAUUUUAUUUAUAAGGAUUUUUACUAAUUAAAAAUUAUAUUAUUUGAAGGAUUUAAGAUUUUAUCCUGCACUUGAAGUUUUGAAAAUUAAUAACGAAAUAGGUUGGUCUUGGGGUCUAGGAUAGACAUAUAGUAAUAUGUGUAUUGUGAGUUGUAAAAAUCUUAUGGUAAUAAUUUAUUUGACUAGAUCGUGAUGCUACGGGUCCCAUUUAAAAAGGAAAGGACAAAGUGAUAUAUUGAUCGUGAUUUAACUAAGGCAAGUGGACUUUCUAAACUUUGUAAUUCAUGUAGAAUUCUCAAAAUUUCCUUUCUUCUAUGUGGCACAGUGAUUAUCUAUUAUUGAAAUCAAAGUGAUACUUAUUUUUAGAUGUGAAUGUUGUUGAAGUUGUGAUGAUAUGAAGAUUGAGGCUAUUGAAAUAUUUAUGGUAUUGAGCUAACUAUGGUUAAUUUGAGAUGUAUGCUUCGUAUGAGCAUCCUGCACAUUUCAUGACUAUUGUGCAUUUAUUAUGUGUUUGCUGGAUGAUCCAAGAAAAGAAACGAAAAAUAAAAGAAAAAAAUGUAAUAUUUCGAGGGUCGUGGUGCACGCCGCAUCGGAUACAUGGUCCAUGUGUGGCUCCCAUGGAGGCAUGUUUAUGAUCAACAGAUGUGUAUCACUAGGACAAACAUGCAUCACGAUUAUUUGACAUUGCAUCGCAUUAUUUGCAUCUCACGACAUUCAUUUCAUCACAUAAUGUUCUGGCUUGUUAUUAUUACGUGGAAUUCUAUUGAGAUGGAAUAAUUGUUAUAUUAUUUGACUUAUUUAUGACUUUACAUGAUUAGCUCUUAAUAUGGAUUUAUUGAUAUUUGAGAAAUUAAUGUGAACUUGAUAAAUUGUGGAAUUUGCCCUGUGACUUGAAAAGAGGAUAAUGAUUAAUGAUGUAUUAUAUCUUGUUGGGCUGGCUAAUUUUCUACGCAGGUUGUAGUUGCGGAGGUAGGAUGGAAUGAAAAGAGUUUGUGUAUUCUAUUGGACUUACUUUGUUUAGUUAGUUGACUUGCUGGGUAUCGCGUGGUAUUUGGUACUCACUCCUUGCUAUAUUUUUGUAGGUUGUAAGCCCGGACAGUGAAUAGUAUUUUCCUUGAUCCUCCGAGCUUUCCCAGGAGACGUAGAGAGGUAGCUGUCGAUAUCUGGCUAACUCUCUUGUUCCUAUUUCGUUUGUACUUGUUCUAUUUUAGAAGUAGGACAAUUUGGACUUGUAUUUUCUUUGAUUUUCUGUAUUGCUAGUGACUUGUACGCAUGACAACCAAUCCUUGGGGUGGUAUUUAAGUUUAUGAAAAUUCUCAACUUUAGAUAUUUACCCUAGUUAAUUUCUUCCACGCAAUAUUUUAUUAUCCCUUUAGUUAAGGUUGACUUGUUCUGGUGGGAUUGAGCAAGUACAAUCACACCAAAUUUUUGGAUCGUGACAAACAGGUAUAUGGUGAGAAAAUAUAUUUGCUCAAUGUUGUGCUGCUUAAUAUAGAGAAAUAUUUGAAGGCAAACUUAUUUCUUUUCCUCCAAUAUGUGUGUAUUAUAAUCUUAAUACACACAUGCUAAAAAACUUGAAAAUAGAAUGAUUUUCAUGCUAAAAAACUUAAAAGUCGAAUGAUUUAUAGUGUUAAAAAUAGAAUGAUUUUCAUGCUAAAAAGCUUAAAAAAAAGUCAAACCAUCAACUUCAAAUUUCAGAUCCAUCUCUAUUUGUACUUGAACAAGCAAAUAAGAGUUGAACAUGUGUCCAUUAAUACUCCCACACGUUUUAUUUAAAAUUCUGAAUCUUCCUCGGAACGUCAUGACUAGCAGGCAUAUAAUUUUUAAAUAUUUAUGGUGAGAUAUAUGUGCUAUGAUAGAUUCAAAAUCUAAACUAGUCAAUUCUAAAAUAUUAAUUCUUGAUAAUUUUGCAUCACAUUGGAUUAGUCAUGAAAGUGAAAACUUACUAAUAAAUCAACAUGAAUAUGAAGUUUAAAAAAUGGUGACAUGUUUGCAAAGGGAACAAGACAAAACAAUGAAAAGAACAAAGUUCAUCUUUUUUAUUGAUAUGGUGCAUAAAGCACAUGAAGAUACAGAAAACAAGUUGUUAUAACUAAUGUAAAAUGAAUAAAUUAAAGCCUUUGAAAUAUCAAAAGUCAGAUACACCUCAAAGGACCACUAACAAAUUAAUUAAGUCGUUGAAGCCACUUCCUCCAAGAAGAUACAAUAAUAACAAUGUGCAAGAAGGCCUCAAGAGAAGGAGGAACAAAUUUCUCCAUGUCUAAGCUGUCUUUAGAACUUAGUAAUGGGUCGUCGGAGGCGGUGGAGAGGCGUAAAUGUAUACUGGUGGAGGAGGUGAUUUCACGGGUGGAGGAGGUGAGUUGUAGUAGUAGGGGCGAGGAGGAGAUUUUAUUGGUGGAGGUGGAGAGUGGUAGUAGUAUGGAGGUGGAGUAGAAGGUGACGGUGGAAGAGGUGACUUGUAGUAGUAAGGUGGAGGUGGUGACGGAGAUGGUGGAGGAGGAGAUUUGUAAUAGUAGGGUGGUGGAGGAGAUGGCGAUGGGGGUGGUGGUGACUUGUAGUAGUAUGGUGGAGGGGGAGAAGGCGAUGGUGGUGGAGGAGACUUGUAGUAGUAUGGUGGAGGGGGAGAAGGCAAUGGUGGAGGUGGGGACUUGUAGUAGUAUGGUGGUGGAGGAGAUGGCGAUGGUGGGGGUGGGGACUUGUAGUAGUAUGGUGGUGGAGGAGAUGACGAUGGUGGUGGUGGAGACUUAUAGUAGUAUGGUUGAGGUGGGGAUGGGGAUGGAGGGGGAGGAGAUUUAUAAUAGUAAGGAUGCGGGGGAGAGGGUGAUGGUGGUGGUGGGGACUUGUAGUAGUAAGGUGGGGGUGGUGAUGGGGAUGGUGGGGGAGGAGAUUUGUAAUAGUAAGGAGGUGGCUGUGAUGGCGAUGGUGGUGGUGGUGAUUUAUAGUAGUAUACAGGUGCAGGUUUUGGUGAUGGUGGUGGAGGAGACUUAUAGUAGUAAUGAGGUGGGGGAGAAGGUGACGGUGGUGGUGGUGAUUUAUAAUAGUACACAGGUGCAGGUGUUGGUGAUGGUGGUGAUUUAUAAUAGUAUAUCGGUGUAGGUUUUGCUGAUGGUGGCGGUGGAGAUUUGUAAUAAUAAUGUGGUGGAAACUUAGUCGGUGGUGGUGGAGAUUUGUAAUAGUAAGCAGGUGGUGGUGGAGACUUAUAAACGUAUGUUGGGGUUGGAGGAGGUGGUGACUUGUACACAUAAGUCGGUGAUGGAGGUAGUGGAGAUUUAUAAUAGUAUGGAGCACGUGUAUGCUUUGGCUUUGUGCAUUUCACAUAAGUCGUCGUAGAACCAUAAGCAAAUGGUUUUGCAUAGAGGACAACUUCAUAUUUAUUCUUUGACUUCACUUUGAGGUUAGCACCCUUAAUUCCCCAAUGAAGGUUUGUAGGAAUGCUACAUUCUGAGUCCUUUGGAGCAUUGUGAAGUUUAGCCUUGCAAGCCUUUGCUCCAUAUUUGCGAUAUUCGAAUCCUUCAACUGUGAUGCUAAAUUUGCCAUUGUUCUUUGUAGUACCAUAACUCACAAUUUCCUUGUCUCCAGCCUUGCAAGUUACCUCAACAACAGCACCUAAUUCACAGAAAGAAGAAAUGUUACUCAACUAAUAUAAUUGAAUUGUAUGUUAUUACUUUUCAGAAUUUACAUCACAGGUUACCAUCUGUUAUUCAUUCAUAGGUUGCAUAUUGAACUUCUUAAAAACUUAAUGAUGAAUAGUACAACAUAAAGAAUAUAAGAUCUGUACCUUUGAGGUGCUUCUUAGCAUGAGACUUUUCUGGGUAUUUCUUGUCAUAGCAUCUAAAACAGUAAACUUUUCCAACAACCUUGACCACAAAGUGAUGAUGUGGAGAAUAAUAGUGAGUAGGUGGUGGUGGGGAAGUGUAGUAAUGUGGAGGAGGAGGCGACUUAGCUGGUGGUGGUGGUGAAGUGUAGUAGUAUGGUGGAGGAGGUGACUUAACUGGCGGUGGUGGAGAAGUGUAGUCAUAUGGAGGAGGAAGAGAUUUCUUGGGUGGUGGAGGAGAGUUGUAGUAGUACGGUGGAGGAGUCGACUUAGCUGUUGGUGGUGGUGAAGUAUAGUGAUAGGGUGGAGGAGGUGAUUUCUUUGUUGGUGGAGGAGAAUUGUAGUAGUAUUUUGGAGGAGUAGACUUCUUCGGGGGUGGUGGAGAAUUGUAGUAAUAUGGUGGUGGAGGCGAUUUCUUGGGUGGAGGUGGGGAGUUGUAGUAGUAAGGUGGAGGCGGUGAAGACUUAGGAGGCGGUGGAGACUUAUAGUAGUAGGGUGGUGGAGGUGAUGGUGAUGGUGGUGGAGGAGAUUUGUAAUAGUAAGGUGGUGGUGGGGAAGGUGAAGGAGGUGGUGGAGAUUUGUAGUAGUAUGGUGGAGGUGGUGAUGGUUUGGGUGGUGGUGGAGAUUUGUAAUAAUAUGGUGGCGGGGGUGAUGGUGAAGGUGGUGGAGGAGAUUUAUAGUAGUAUGGUGGUGGUGGUGAAGGUGAUGGUGGAGG
rnacentral:lncRNA from 1 species